rnacentral:rRNA from 1 species
ACUCCUACGGGAGGCAGCAGUGGGGGAAUAUUGCACAAUGGGCGCAAGCCUGAUGCAGCCAUGCCGCGUGUAUGAAGAAGGCCUUCGGGUUGUAAAGUACUUUCAGCAGUGAGGAAGGUGGAUAUGUUAAUAGCAUAUUCAUUUGACGUUAGCUGCAGAAGAAGCACCGGCUAACUCCGUGCCAGCAGCCGCGGUAAUACGGAGGGUGCGAGCGUUAAUCGGAAUUACUGGGCGUAAAGCGCAUGCAGGUGGUUUGUUAAGUCAGAUGUGAAAGCCCGGGGCUCAACCUCGGAAUUGCAUUUGAAACUGGCAAACUAGAGUACUGUAGAGGGGGGUAGAAUUUCAGGUGUAGCGGUGAAAUGCGUAGAGAUCUGAAGGAAUACCGGUGGCGAAGGCGGCCCCCUGGACAGAUACUGACACUCAGAUGCGAAAGCGUGGGGAGCAAACAGGAUUAGAUACCCUGGUAGGCUCU